rnacentral:lncRNA from 1 species
UCACUGUUCACUAUCCGACAAAAUUAGUUUUGCUUUUUUUAUUUGAAGAUAUUCCUCUGAGUCUUGCAUGUUUCUGCCUACCACAGUUUAGUUUGAAACCUAAUAUGUUGGUCAUCAAUUUAUAAUGCUAUAUUUAACUUUGCACAGAUGGUCGAACAAACGCUCCGAAUGGACUUUGUAGUAAUCCAUGGCUUAUGACAGGAAUUCUAGGAGAACUUCAACUCAUGUAAAGUCACAAUGGCUGGUAGU